rnacentral:rRNA from 1 species
GACGUAGGGGGCAAGCGUUAUUCGGAAUCAUUGGGCGUAAAGCGCUCGUAGGCGGGACGGGAAGUCCGUGAAGAAAGACCUGGGCUCAACUCAGGGACCGGCACGGAUACUCUCGUUCUUGAGGCAAUCAGAGGGUGAUGGAAUUCCCGGUGUAGUGGUGAAAUGCGUAGAGAUCAGGAGGAACACCGGUGGCGAAGGCGGCCCACUGGGCAGUCACUGACGCUGAGGCGCGAAAGCUCGGGGAGCGAACGGG